rnacentral:rRNA from 1 species
AACGAACGCUGGCGGCAUGCCUAACACAUGCCAGUCGAACGAGACCUUCGGGUCUAGUGGCGCACGGGAGCGUAACGCGUGGGAACCUGCCCUUAGGUUCGGAAUAACUCCCCGAAAGGGGUGCUAAUACCGGAUAAUGUCUUCGGACCAAAGAUUUAUCGCCUUUGGAGGGGCCCGCGUUGGAUUAGCUAGUUGGUAGGGUCAAAGCCUACCAAGGCGACGGUCCAUAGCUGGUCUGAGAGGAUGAUCCGCCACACUGGGACUGAGACACGGCCCAGACUCCUACGGGAGGCAGCAGUGGGGAAUAUUGGACAAUGGGCGAAAGCCUGAUCCAGCAAUGCCGCGUGAGUGAUGAAGGCCUUAGGGUUGUAAAGCUCUUUUACCCGGGAUGAUAAUGACAGUACCGGGAGAAUAAGCUCCGGCUAACUCCGUG